GCUGGGAUUACAGGCGUGAGCCACUGCACCCAGCCAACUUCACCUAGAUUUUAGAAGACGGAGACAUCCUGAUCAUACCAAGACAAGAAUACAGUUCCAUAGACCUUACUGGCCUAGUGUGUUUCCAGGAAGUCUGGAACUUCCUGGGUGGACCUCCUGCCUUUACCACGACUUCUUCCAAGGAGAAAGCUAGAACUCAAGCCCAGUUCAACUCUGUGUUUUCCUUUCUGCCCUUGGAUACCUUCCUACCAGUCUUGCUCAAUUUGGGCACUCCUGACAUUUUGGACUGGAAAUUUUUGUUGCUGUGGGGGGCUGUCCUGUGCAUUGUGAGGGGCUGUCCAGAAUCCCUGGCCUCUACACCAAAUUGCUAGCAGUCGUCACUCCCCGUCUCAGUUGUGACAACAGAAAAUGUCUACAAACAUUGCCAAAUGUUUGGGGGAGGUAGAAGGAGAAGGUAACAACAUUGGCCUGGUUUGAGAGCCACUAAACCAAACCAGCCAUGGAAUAGAUGCCGUGGAGUCUAGCCGUGAACUGUUGUCCAGGAGGCGGCUGGGGAGGAAUUCACAAAUGUUCCCAGCACAGGAUCUGGCAAUUUCUGUGUAAACUUUUCUUCCAGUGAUAUUUAAUUUUUUUAUCAUCUCCAAAUGGUAAUCGUUUGCAAAUUAAGUGGUGUUUAUCCUCCUGGCUAUGAACUCUUAACAGAGUGCAGGAGCUUUUUUGUUUUGUUUUCUUUUGGUGUGUAUGUGUGUGUUUUCUGGUCUGCACGGUUCUCAGUCCCUCAGAACCAUUUAUUUCCUUUUAUUGUUGUUUUCCUCACUUGGCUUCCCCGCUCCACCAGACAGGCUUAAUAACUGGCAAUCAUCACAUCGCAGGGCAAAGCAGUCGGCAGCCACCCCCGCAACGGAGGAAUCAGAGCCUGAAUGCUCUGGAACUAUUGCCUCUUUUGUUUUUCCAGGCAGACUCCAGUUUUGUCUCUUGACUAUCCCUGAAUAAAGAGAAUCUUAAAACAUCAUGUGGCUGCAAAUGGCUUCACAUAAGCUGGAAGGAGCAAUAAACAGGAAGUCCACAGCAAAGGAGAAAUAAAAAUGAUCAGUCAAUUAGGCUGUGAGAAUGACUUCACUGAGCGCCCCCCCACCUCCACCUCCAAGGCAUCUUUGGAGGAAACUGGGCUGCAUUAAUCAGGCCUGGGCAGGCAGGCCCCAGAGCAGAGCUGCCAGGAGGGAAGGCCUGCAGUGAGCCAGCGAUGGGGAGUGAGUGCCACACCACUUCCAGAGCCAAAGAUCUGCCAGGAGGGGCAGGACAAUGUGGCCCACAUGCGGUGAGCAAAUCAUCCAGCCAAGUUGCAAAACUUCCAUGACACUCUUUUAUCCUGUCCUGGGGUGGGAUGAGAGGCCCCACGAUGAGGAAUGAACACAAUUGCCCCGGUGCUGCAGCCCACACCUGGCUGCUCUGGUGACACUCUGGACUCUCACAUUCAGACAGGACCCCCCACAGUGUUCUUGAGCCAUCUUGGCCCCGAGAGUCCCAUGUCUAGGGAACUUGCUGCCCUUCCCAGCCACCACCAGUGCCUAUGGCUUAUAUGCCCAGGUAUCCUGACCCAGUGAUGCCCCUCCAGAGCAGGAAUCAUCACCACGAUAAGUUAGGCCCGGCUCCACCCUACCCAGGAGGCCUUCCUGAAAACAGCAUCACAGAGAAUUCGGAGGACAACAUAGCUACUGCUUUGAUGUCGGGCUUAAAGAGAAAGCAUGCCUCCUAAAGCAGAGAGAGAGGAGAGAAAGAGAUAAUCAGCCUCUCGGUGUCUCAUUUCAUGAAGAGGGUCAGAUUGUACAAAUGGGGAGUUAAAUAAAAAAGGAUGUAGGAGGAGGUUCAAACUAAUUUGAGGUCAGAAAAGUGAGAAACAUAUUUUUAGUUUCUAAGACCACCUAAAGAAGGCAGGGUAGUCCAGGCGUGGUGGCUCACUUCUGUAAUCCCAGCACUUGGGGAGGUUGAGGCGGGAGGAUUGCCUGAGCUCAGGAGUUUGAGACCAGCCUGGGCAACAAGGUGGAACCACAUCUCUAAAAAAAAAAAAAAAAAAUAGCCAGGUAUGGUGGUGCAUGCCUAUAGUUCCAGCUACUUGUGGGGCUGAGGCGGGAGGCUCUCUUGAGCCCAGGAGAUCAAGGCUGCAGUGAGCCAAGAUCAUGCCACUGCACUCCAGCCUGGGUGACAGAGCAAGACUGGGUCUCAAAAAAAAAAAAAAAAAAAAAAACCAGGGUAUACCACAUGUAGAAUAUUAUGAUUUAAAAGUAGUUCCCUCUCCAAUCCUAGUUCCUCUAGUCCAUCUUAUUUUAUUUAUUUAUUUAUUUAAGAAUGAGUUUCGCUCUUGUUGCCCAGGCUGGAGUACAGCAACACCAUCUCAGCUCACUGCAACCUCUGCCUUCUGGGUUCAAGCGAUUCUCCUGCCUCAGCCUCCCACGUAGCUGGGACUACAGGCACCCACCACCAUGCCUGGCUAAUUUUUGCAUUUUUAGCAGAGAUGGGGUUUCACCAUGUUGGUCAGGCUGGUCUCGAACUCUUGACCUCAGGUGAUCCACCCACCUCAGCCUCCCAAAGUGCUGGGAUUAUAGGCGUAAGCCACCACACCCGGCCUAGUCCACCUUAUUUUAUUGUGGCUACACUGUAAAUCCAUUCUGGAAGUGGCCAGGGUCAUGUCUCUAUACUAGGGGUUCAGCUGCAGAUAGUGGGGAGCAUUUCCAAGGAGGCCUGAGAGAAGGCAGGUGUUAUGCAUGAUGCAAAACAGCAGGGUGAUGGCAGAGCUCUGACCUCAAUGCUCCUGAACUAGAGGUGGUCGUUAGGACUAGGUUGUUUUCCAACAGCUGACACCCCUGUGAUUGGACCAAAGAGUUAGAUAUUUUAACCUAGUGUGUAAACGUGGUUAAUCUCCGGCUUCUGUUUAAGCAAUGGCCCAUCUUCCUGGAAACAUUCCUGCUCUCUGAGCCCUGGGAUCUUGGAAUAGAACCACUUGCCGGAAGUGGCCAUUGCUGCUCCACCACUGUAGAAAAAUCUCCUGCCCAGGUGCCCAGGCUUCUCUGUUUUAUCAGCUGCUGCAAGAUUCUCCAUCACCUCCCCAAGCAGACCCAGCAGGAAUCCAACCAUUGCAAGCCUAUCACUUUUCAACAACGUGGACACUUACAUGGUAAGACUAGAUCCACGUUAUGCUGGAGUGAGGAGAGGCUCAGUAAAGCUUCCUAUCUCCCAGAGAAGCUAUGUGCUGAGAACUGACCCAGCCAGUUGUCCUGGACAGUAAGUGAAUCAAUCGGUAGAAGCCUCUGCUAUGCGCCUGGGCUCUGUGUUCAGUACUGUAGUUUAUACGAAAGAAGCCAAGAAAGAUGUGGUCCUGCCGUCCGUGAAGUUGCACCCUAGUCUAACUCACAAGACUAACGAACAUGUGGGCUGAGAUCAUACGAUAAGGCCGCAUGACCAUUCUGGCCUUCGGUAAACCCAAGCCUGAACAUAUAUCUAAAGCUAUGGUGCUUCGUUAAAUAAUACUGCACAUUGUUAUUUAACUUUUCUUCUAUGUCUUGUACCACCAUAAGGUCAUAAAUUCCUCUAAAGUAGGAAGCACAACUUACCCUUUUUAGGGUCUCAUGCAUCCCCCCACCCCCUACAGCUUUCAGCACAGGUGCUUGUGAUGUUGUUACUGGAUGCUCUGGUGAGUAUAAUUGCGUGAAACACAAUAGAAUUGCAAUAGGAGUUUGUGUACGGGAGUAAUCUGGGUGGGCUGGGGUAGUUGGAGAGGGAGGCUUCCCUGGAACUACAAAGGGCAAUUGACAGUAAAAAUACCACAGUUUUUUUUUCUUUUCCUUUUGAAAGUAGUGAUUAAAGACAACAUUUAAAAAACUGUAAAAGUGUAAAUAUUCAUUAUAGAAACAUGUCAAAUGAAGAAAAAUAUAAAGAAGGAGAUUCAAAUCACGGGUAAUUUCAUUCCCAGAAUGAGUGAGCUCACAGAAUACAUAAUUAUCAACUGUAACAAGUGCAGUGAAGAAAGAGACCAGCAAGAGAAUAAAUCUGAGAGACCUGAUCUAGAAUAGAGGAGGCCUCUCCCAGGAUGCAACAUUGAAGCUGAGACCUGAAGGAUGAGCAGGGCUGAGAUGGAUGAAGAGAGAGAGAAGCACAUAACAGCUGCUACCCUUUCCUGUUUCCUGAGGACAUUUCAACAUGACUUCGAGCACAGUUAAAGUGAACUGCCAAGGUUAAGCGAGCUUUCCUUCCUUACGGAAUCUCCCAGCCCCUAAUUCUAUAAUACUACUCGCUUAGUUUGGCUGUGGUGAAACCCACCUUGUCCUCUACUAAAGAUAUGGAACGAAGACCUCGUCAGUCAAUCUUCCAUGAUCCCGGCCACCGCAAUUGGCUCAGGUCGUUGCUGCCAUGAAGUAAGAGUCUGUCUGGAAAUGAAGGCGAGCAGAGGCCACAAAGCUGAGACAUGGAGACAGAGAGAGUCCUGAUGUUAUUAUUUGAACCAUUGAGUCCAGCUGUGCCUGAAACUCUUCAGUGAGCCAAGAAAUUCCUUUUUGGCUUAAGCCAAUUGGAGUCGUGUUUGUGAUACUUGCAAAUGAAAGGAGUUAUUGACUAAUAAAACUGCCAUUUCUAUCUCUCCAAGAAUUAGGAAAUACUUCUUUAAAACUGUUUAUUUGCAGUAUGCUUUAUUCCUUCCCACAAAAAAGAGGCAGCUUAUAAAAGUAAAUAUGAAAAAUAGGCACAAAGGGUGUAUAAUACAUGAAAUACAUGUGUAUAUGUCUAGCACAGUCUUUAUAUUAAGUUGACAAAAAUUAUUAUUAUUAUUAUUAUUUUUGCAACAGAGUUUCACUCUUGUCACCCAGGCUGGAGUUCAAUGGCAUGAUCUCGGCUCACUGCAACCUCCACCUCCUGGGUUCAAGUGAUUCUCCAGCUUCAGCCUCCCGAGUAGCUGGAAUUACAGGUGCCCGCCACCACCAGCCCAGUUAAUUUUUGUAUUUUUGGUAGAGAUGGGGUUUCACCAUGUAGGCCAGGCUGGUCUUGAAUUCCUGACCUCAGGUGAUCUGCCUACCUUGGCCUCCCAAAGUGCUGGGAUUACAGGCGUAAGUCACUGCACCUGGCCCAAAAAUUAUUUUUUAAGUUACAGUACGAACUACUGCUGAGGGUGCUGGGUAAUUAACAUUGUUGGAGAAAUUAUAAACUGGUGCAAACCUUCUGGAGAUAAAUUUGACAAUGCUUAUUCAUAUCCAUUGUUUGUCUAUAAUCAACCAUUCUUCUUUUAGGAAUGCAUCUGAAAGAAAUAAUUACAUAAAUAAGGAGAUAUGCAAAGAUUUAGCUAUGAGAAUGAUUGUUUAAUCACCAGAAGUUGGAAAACAGCCUGAAUAUCCAAUGACAUAAAAACAAAAUUGGCGGGGCGCGGUGGCUCACGCCUGUAAUCCCAGCACUUUGGGAGGCCGAGGCGGGCGGAUCACAAGGUCAGAGAUCGAGACCAUCCUGGCUAAGACGGUGAAACCCCAUCUCUACUAAAAAUCAAAAAAUUAGCCGGGCCUGGUGGCGGGUGUCUGUAGUCCCAGCUACUUGGGAGGCUGAGGCAGGAGAAUGGCCUGAACCCAGGAGGCGGAGCUGGCAGUGAGCCGAGAUGAUGCCACUGCACUCCAGCCUGGGCGACAGAGAGAGACUCUGUCUCAAAAAAAAAAAAAAAAAAUUAUCUGUCCACCAAUUGGAAUACCAUGUAUUUAUUAAAAUAAUGAUGUGGAAUUUUAUUUACUGACUUGGAACAAUAUUCAUAUAUUGUGAACUGGCUUUGGACUAAUACAUUUAAAUUCUCCCUAGGCUGACUGGGCGCGGUGGUCCGUGCCUGUAAUCCCAGCACUAUGGGAGGCUGAGACGGGUGGAUCACUUGAGAGCAGGAAUUUGAGACCAGCCUGGCCAAGAUGGUGAAACUCCAUCUCUACAAAAAUACAAAAAUUAGCCAGGCAUGGUGGCAUGCACCUGUAAUCCCAGCUACUCAGGAGGCUGAGGCAGGAGAAUCGCUUGAACCCGGGAGGUGGAGGUUGCAGUGAGCCGAGAUUGCACCACUGCACUCCACCGUGGGUGACAGAGUGAGAUGCUGUCUCAAUAAAAUAAAAUAAAACAAUUAAUUCUCCCUAGGCUGCAGCAAGAAUCGAAUGAAUCACUCUUAACCCCAUGCCAAACAAACAAACAAACAAACAAAAAAACCCUACUUGUUGGUUGUGGGCCUUAAAAAGAGAGCUGUAUAGAAGUGGCAAAAAUUAAGUUUGUGUAUCCUUGCUUGGGUCAAAUUUGGCUGUCCAUAGAUAUGAGGUUAAUUUUUUCCUGUUAGAGCAUGUGCUGGUUCUAUCUAUACAUGCUCCAAUUUUCAAAUAUUUCACUAAUAUUAGGAGAUUAUCUGUUGGCAUUGAGUUGGGUCUCAAAGUAUCAUCUAUUCUAGACCAAUGGUCACCAAAAUGUAUGUAUCCUCAAAAUAAAGCACUGGU
rnacentral:lncRNA from 10 species